UUUAAACUGGUUUGGAAAACCAAAUAUAUUAUAUAUUUUGCUUUGUUCAAAAUACGGUUUUCUAAUAAAUUAUGUUUUUAUCAGAUAUGACAGAAUCUUUUUUAAAAUCUCUUCAAUAUGCUUUUAUUGCUUUUGAGAGGUUUUGUUACUUUGAGUAAAAUUAAGUGUUCAUAACAGACGGGUAGUCAUGAUUGAGUUCAUUGUGUA
rnacentral:rRNA from 1 species